GAUCCUGGCUCAGGAUGAACGCUGGCGGCGUGCUUAACACAUGCAAGUCGAACGAAGCACUUUAAUCGAUUUCUUCGGAUUGAAAUUUUAGUGACUGAGUGGCGGACGGGUGAGUAACGCGUGGGUAACCUGCCUCACACAGGGGGAUAACAGUUGGAAACGGCUGCUAAUACCGCAUAAGCGCACAGAGCUGCAUGGCUCGGUGUGAAAAACUCCGGUGGUAUGGGAUGGGCCCGCGU
rnacentral:rRNA from 1 species